GUUGCUAGGACAAAGCACGCUUCCCAAGCUGAAUGUCGCGGGUUCGAUUCCCGCCGGCCGCUCCA
rnacentral:tRNA from 1 species